AGAAUCAACGCUGGCGGCGUGCCUAACACAUGCAAGUCGAACGAGAAAGUGGGAGCAAUCCCACGAGUAAAGUGGCGCACGGGUGAGUAACACGUGACUAACCUACCCUUGAGUGGGGGAUAACCUAGGGAAACCUGGGCUAAUACCGCAUAAUACCUACGGGUCAAAGGAGCAAUUCGCUUUAGGAGGGGUCGCGGCAGAUUAGUUAGUUGGCGGGGUAAUGGCCCACCAAGACAGUGAUCUGUAUCCGGCCUGAGAGGGCGCACGGACACACUGGAACUGAAACACGGUCCAGACUCCUACGGGAGGCAGCAGUGGGGAAUUUUGCGCAAUGGGGGAAACCCUGACGCAGCAACGCCGCGUGGAGGAUGAAGCCCCUUGGGGCGUAAACUCCUUUCGAUCGGGAAGAUAAUGACGGUACCGGAAGAAGAAGCCCCGGCUAACUUCGUGCCAGCAGCCGC
rnacentral:rRNA from 1 species